rnacentral:rRNA from 1 species
AGAGUUUGAUCCUGGCUCAGGAUGAACGCUAGCGGGAGGCUUAACACAUGCAAGUCGAGGGGUAAAUGGCAGCAAUGCUAUGAGACCGGCGGACGGGUGCGUAACGCGUAUGCAACAUACCUUGUGCAGGGGGAUAGCCCGUGGAAACGCGGAUUAAUAUUCCAUAGUCCAGCUAUAUCGCAUGGUAUAGUUGGUAAAGAUUUAUCGGCACAAGUUUGGCAUGCGUCUGAUUAGCUUGUUGGUAGGGUAACGGCCUACCAAGGCUACGAUCAGUAGGGGUUCUGAGAGGAUUAACCCCCACACUGGUACUGAGACACGGACCAGACUCCUACGGGAGGCAGCAGUGAGGAAUAUUGGUCAAUGGGCGGAAGCCUGAACCAGCCAUCCCGCGUGAAGGAAGACAGCCUUACGGGUUGUAAACUUCUUUUCUGUCAGAAGAAUAAGCUUGUCGAGACGAGUGAUGCCGGUAUGACAGGAAUAAGCAUCGGCUAACUCCGUGCCAGCAGCCGCGGUAAUACGGAGGAUGCAAGCGUUAUCCGGAUUUAUUGGGUUUAAAGGGUGCGCAGGUUGUUUGAUAAGUCAGUGGUGAAAGUCUGUCGCUUAACGGUAGGAUUGCCAUUGAUACUGUUGGACUUGAAUAUGGAUGAGGUAGGCGGAAUGUGUAGUGUAGCGGUGAAAUGCAUAGAUAUUACACAGAACACCGAUUGCGAAGGCAGCUUACUAAUCCAUCAUUGACGCUGAGGCACGAAAGCGUGGGGAUCAAACAGGAUUAGAUACCCUGGUAGUCCACGCCGUAAACGAUGAUCACUCGCUGUUUGCGAUAUACAGUAAGCGGCUAAGCGAAAGCGUUAAGUGAUCCACCUGGGGAGUACGAUCGCAAGGUUGAAACUCAAAGGAAUUGACGGGGGCCCGCACAAGCGGAGGA